rnacentral:lncRNA from 1 species
CCAUCUCCUCAUAUCUCUCAAACCUCAUCUCUUCAGAGAUGAGGAACCCUAGCCGCCAUGGCUCUCCCACACCAGAAACCCAGCGGCCUGAACUCCGAUGGCUACCAAAGUUACACCCCUGAGCCUCCUGACAACCCUCAUCACGAAUCCAGGCUCCGUUUGCUUCGAUUCUCAACGGAGCGUUUCGAAUAUCAGAUCAAAGAACCAGCCUAAAACCUUACCUCUUCUGAUGGCUUCCAAACUCAUACCCCAACACCCUGACCUCCCUCAUACCCCAAGUGACCUUGGUUCCGUUUGAAUCUGCCCGACGAUAUUCGAAUCCCAAAUCGAACUAGAAAGCCCUAACGAGACAAAACCUUGGUUUUGUCCGAGAUUGAGGAGAAUUUGGGGUUACUAAUCAACCUUAGUCGAGUGUUCUCAGUCGAGAACACUCGAUUAAGGUCCAUCUGACCCCAAAAGUUCGAAUUAGAGUUCAAGCCGAGUCAUCCGUUCAUUCUUUCUUUGAGUUAUUUUUUCGUUUGUUCUAUUUUGUUAUUUGCUAUUUGUUAUUUGUUUAAAUCAUUGUAUUAAUUUUCUGUUCAUUAAUUCUUCCUCCUCCUUCGUACCUUUUUAUGGUCCAGUUUUUCCCUGUAAAUUAGUAUAUGUUAUAGUAUGUUGAGUGCUUUGAAUUAGUCAGUGUCAAUAAGUUCUAAAACAAAACUCUGAUUAAUCCCCUAACUGUUGACUAUUACUCUGUUCGAAUUGUUUCAUCUAUAUUGUCUAUCAUUUUGUCGCCUAGGGAUUCAGUGUAUUUACAAUGUUUACUUGUCAUUUCUUUUUUUAAUUUAGGAAUUAUUAGUUCAUGUCCAUGUAUCCAUAAACUUGGUAGGUCAAUAGGAUUUUAUCACGCUUUAAUUGUCUUUGUUUUAGAGCUAUUUGAUUCAAUUUAAGUUCAAACUUUAACUGAUAUUUGAGCUUAAUGAGGUAAAUUAUGAUCUUCUGUUUUCCUUAGUUGUUCUAGCGAUUGGUUAGGAUUAACUUGGAUUCUCUUAUUAUUAAGGUUUGGUUAUAGUUGUAAAUUAGAGAUUAGUUCUAAAUAAUUAAAGGCUUGGUUCUGUUUGCUGAAAUUCUGAAUAAGAGCAGUAAUAGUAAGAUGCAAUGGUGUUUUAGGAAUAGACAAAAUAGAAAUCUGGUUUGACUAAGUUAGUCUAACCAGUGGGGCCCCUAAUAACUUUAAUUUGAAUUAAUUAGUAGGGGGGCCAUUGAAAAUGAUGAGUGUUGGCUGCUUUUUCUUAAUUGAAAUUAGGAAUACUGUAUAUAAUGAUAAAAGGGGCAUAUAAGAGCAUAUUUGGGGGGGGGGGGCUGUUUAUUAAAGUAUGUGUUAAGUGGAAGAGUAAUGAUGGAAGUGUUGUAAUAAUAAUUAAAGGGGGAAUGGGAAGGGNNNNNNNNNNNNNNNNNNNNNNNNNNNNNNNNNNNNNNNNNNNNNNNNNNNNNNNNNNNNNNNNNNNNNNNNNNNNNNNNNNNNNNNNNNNNNNNNNNNNNNNNNNNNNNNNNNNNNNNNNNNNNNNNNNNNNNNNNNNNNNNNNNNNNNNNNNNNNNNGGGGGGGGGGGGGCUGUUUAUUAAAGUAUGUGUUAAGUGGAAGAGUAAUGAUGGAAGUGUUGUAAUAAUAAUUAAAGGGGUAAUGGGAAGGGUAAUGAUAAAGGUUUGUAGUAAUUACUAAAGGGUAAGGGGAGAGGGUAUGGAUUUUGAAUAAAUAAGGGUCAUUUAGACAAGUUUAGGGGAGGGGAAAGAACUUGAGAUUUUGAGAGAACAAAGACUGAAAAAAUCUGAAAUAGAGAAAAAAAAGAGUUGAGUUCACCUGAAGUACACUUGUUUGACUUAGAGAAGUUUGGGGUCUAAUUAAGUUAGUAUUGAUUGAGGUUUGGUCUGCUGGAAUGGUUAAAUUCAUUGCUGGUAUUAUUUGUUGUUGUUGUUGUGCUGGUUUACAAACUGUUCUGGACUUUGGUCGAGUGUAUUUCUGGUCUUAAAAUUGGGUUCUGAGUUGUUCUAGAUUCCAUUUUGUGCUAUUGGGUUUUUCUAAGUUGUUCCAUUGAGAUAUUGUAAUAUUGUUGGGAUUACUGUUAUUACUUAUCUGCUGCUGCUGACUUACUCUUUUUCUUCCAUUGUAAACAUUUCCAGGUACACACUUCUGAAACCAUAUGUUGAUAUAAGUUUGAAUUUGAACUGAAUUUGAAAUGAAUAGAGAAAUGUUUAGUGGCUUACUUCAUAGUAUCUAUUUUCAAGAUGCAACAGUAGGAUGAAUGAUAGGAAGUUCCUUUUUGUUUAUGCUCAUUCCAAUUGUAUUUACUUUGUAUAAAUUGGAACUCGAACUAAUGUGUACUGUUAAAUGGUAUGUUGUUAGAUUAAUUAGAUGUGUUUCCAUAUGUUUAGCAAUUUUCAUUUUUAGUUUGCAUAGUGGUAUAUUAAGAUAGUUGUUAAGAACUUGUGGCUGCCAUCCAAUAGCUAUUACUUAGAAAUUAACAAGUUUUGUUAACAAUCUUAGUAUACUUUAGUUUGUGGGUUACUAAUGAAGUAAAGUAGGGUAUGAUAAUCGUUAAUUGAUGAAAGUUUUCCCCUAUCCAAUUGAAAAGGAAGAACGUUUAAUAAAAAAAAAACGCUUACGUAAUUAGUUUUCAGUUGUAGCUAUAAGAUGAUUAACUUCUUUUGAAUUUUUAUUUGUUCAAUUUCGCAGUUUUGUGUAAUAUCAAUUUUAGAAAUAUUCAUUCAUAGGAUAAGGCGCAAAAUAAUUUCUUUUUGCGCGAGUUCAAUUUUGAAUAUUUCAUUAGCAUUUGUCGUAACUUAGUAGCCAAUCAUUGAUUACCUUUUCAAAUAUGAAAUAAACUAGGAUUUUUUCUUUUAUUAUAGACGAACUUAAAUAGAAAAUGUAGUCACUUUAAGAAGGUUCUUUUAAAAUAAAUGAGAUGAGUCUCACCAAAUAAAAUGUGCGAGCUGCGGGGCCCUCAAAAAUUAUAUAACAAUUGGAUAGACUUCGUGUUGGUCGCUUAGCAAAUUUUCGCGGCCUUUUCCCAAAAUAAUGACACGUUAGUCUCUUUCGGGUGCGCCUUAAUUAAUCUUACCUUCCUAAACUCGGGUAUUCAUUUAUGCGACCCAAGUCUUAAUCUUGACAAAGUCGAAAUAUGUCGACGACCACGGGUACACUGGUUGUGACGUUGCCCGAGAUAUGUUAUUACAAUAUCGAAAUUCUUUUAAAAAAUUAACUAAUAAGGCAUGCCUCACCAUACAAGAACUCGUAAAUUACGGGGCCCUCUAUACAUGUUUGUUGUGCAAGAUUGCUUAGAUCCUGGAUGGGCCGAUUAACAAAUUUCACGGCCUUGUCCAAAAUCACACUACGCUAGUCACUUAGGGCGCGUCUUUAAUAAAAUUACCUCCGUAAAUACGGGUGUGCAUUUAUGCAGCCCAAAUCUAAAUCUCGAUGAAGUUGAAAUACGUCGACGACCACGUGUACACUGGUUGUGCCGUGGCUCAAGAUACGUUUUCACGACAUCGCAAUUCUCUGUAACAUAACCAUAAUAAUAAUGAUAAAAGCGGUUUAAAGUUAAAAUUUGUUUCUAAGAUCAUAAUUGUAAAAAUCAGAUAAUUAAGCCAAAUAUGACAGUUGAGCGCCCGUGCUAGAACCACAUAACUCAGUAAUGCCUAACACCUUCUCCCGGAUUAACAGAAUUCCUUAUUCAGAUUUUUGGUUCGCGGACUGUUAAAUAGAGUCAUUCUUUUACUCGAUUAGGGAUUAAAACUGGUGACUUGGGACACCAUAAAUCUCCCAAGUGGUGACUCUUAAUCUUAAUAAAUAAUCCCGUUUUGAUUGUCCUUUAAUUGGAAAAACUUCGUUGCGCUCUCGCGGCGCCAGAAAAAAAGAGGUAUGACAGCUCUGGCGACUCUGCUGGGGACGAAACCCAGAAACACUAGUUCAGGGUUAGAAAUUCGAGUUUAGAAUAAAUUAUUGUAUUUUUGGAUUUAUUCAUUAUCUGAUAUUUUAUGUGAUAUGUGCUUAAUAUGCAAAAUGAUGAUUCUUUACCGCUUUGAUAUUAAGUGAACUAUACAUAUAAACUGUACCGAAACCCUUCUCUUCUCCCUCUUGAGGAGAGCACGCUGGUCGUGACUUCUUUCUGUUAGUGUCAUAAUCCCAAUUUAGUACGAGGAUUCGGUGGGUUACAAAACUGGAGGAUCUUUUGGUUACCGGUACGCAAUUCCCAUACUCGGCCCGAGUUAUCCGCUCGGGUAAAAAAGGCCAGGUCUAGAACAAUAACCCAGGUUGAAGUUUAGUAUAACAUAUAUUCAUGCUGGAUCCUAGGAAACGCUUGUUUUGCAUCACAUUGCAUUUGACUUAGGGGACUCAACACAGGGGUUGAGCCUGUGCAGGAAUAGCAACCUGAAAUAAAAAGACCAUCCUGCUGCAUCUUGUUUGAUUUUAUGCAUCUAUUUGUUCAGACUUGCAUGCAGACCAGCUUACAAAAUUAGGAAUAUUAGAAAAAUGAAAAAAAAAGGAGAAAAUAACAAUACAUAGAUGGGUACUAAUUUUUUAAGGGUGUUUUUGAAAAGAAAUGAGUUUUUGAAAAGAAAUGAGUUCUUUUCUAUAGUUUGUUUUUCCCUUGCCGAACUAUAUUUGUUUGAUUCUCACAGGGCAUGGGAUACGUAGGUAACCCCCACCAGAUUCAACUGCCAUUUUUACAAAAUAAUCAAAAUGUAAAUUUCAAAAAAAGAAUCGAGCUAGGUUGUUUUGUCAAAAAUAGUUGAAUCUUCCCUAAAGGGAUGCCAAAAGACUAAUUUUGCACAAACAAACACCUUUGGUCAUUUUUGAUAUUUUGACCAAUUAGCCCGCACAACCUUAUAUCCUUGUCCUCGAGGCUCUGAAAUGGCGUAUUAUGUUUUCGAAAAUAGUUUUAAAUACGUAAGGUGACACCGUUUUACCAAAAUAGCUGAAUGUUCUCAAAAGGGACGCCGGAAGGCUGACUUGGUAUAAAUGGCCUCCUUUUGUCAUUUUGGUCGACAUAGCCUUGAAAAUUCAUCGCCCAUGAGGCGCUGAAAGGCCAUGUUCAAAAUCGGGUUUUAUUUUUGUUUAAAUUUAGGAAAAAUAGUUAGGCCAUGUUCAAAAUCGAGUUUUAUUUUGUUUAAAUUUUUGAAAAUAGUUAGGUCUAUCUGAGUCCAGUAAAGUGUGCUUUUUGCUUAAAGUUGCUUCAUCGAAUGUGCAGAAUGAACAAGGGUCCAAGUUUACCGUUAAAUGUCAGAAGCAAGAUUCCUCUGGAAUUACGACUGUGGUGGGAAGAUUUUGAAAAGGCGGAACAAGAUAAGAUCAGACUACACCUGGGGGAUCUCAUUGAUUUAUUCGGCAUCAGUGCUAUAGGGGACAUCAUAGAAGCAUUGACCGCAUUUUGGGAUCCAGCCCACAAUGUGUUCCAUUUCUCGGACUUUGAACUCACGCCUACUUUAGAGGAGAUAGAAGGGUACAUGGUCAUCACUGAGGGGCUAAUACAUAAAUACUUGAUUGCUCCUCGGGCCGUCAAUUCUCAUAAAUUCAUGGAUUUGUUGAAAUAAGCAAGGGAGUCCCCUACUCAAAGCUGGAUGAAGGUUUUUCUACGCUAAAAUUCGUGUACCGGAGGUAUGGGAACCUAUCGGGAUUUGACGAUCCAGGAAGCGGGGUCUGCAUCUAAGGAAACCGGGUAAAAUGGGAUGAACACAGGCGAUUUGCCUUCAUGGUAUCAUUCCUGGGUCUUGUAUUAUUUCCCACGAAGGACAGAAAUAUUGAUCUAAAGAUAGCUGGGGUGUUCAAGGUCCUAAUCAUCAAUGACAAAAGCACACUUGCCCCCCAUGAUAUUAUUCGAGAUAUAUCGAUCCCUCACAGCUUGUAAAGCAAGGGCAGACUUCUUUGAGGGUUGCAACUUAUUAUUACAAAUAUGGAUGAUCGAACACUUGCAUCAUCAGCCUCAGCAUCUGAGUUAUAUGCUGACAAAGAAAGGUUGCAUUGAGGAGUACGACAAGAGGGUCUCAGGGAUCGAGUUGCCGGUAUGGUGUCAGGAAUGGGUAUCUCAUCUCAGUGCCAUCACUGCUGCACAAAUAGGAUAGACAUUGGGUUGGUUACCAAUCGAAUAAGUUUCGUACAUGCCCGCCACAGGUCCUUACUUCCUUUUGAUGGGACUCCGAGGCAUCCAGCCUUACGCACCCUAUCGAAUGAUGAGGCAAUUGGGAAGGUGUCAGUUGGUAAACCCUAUGAAGAUCUAAGCAUAUACGCAAUUGAGGUCAGCCUAAUCGCCCGUUUCACGGAAAAAUCGUUCGUUCUAUAUGGAACAAAUGCCAGUAUUUGACGGUGAACACUCGAGUGCAUGGCCUAUCCAGGAGUGAAGUCUCAUCUGAUUAUCUAGCCUGGUAUACAAGGAAGGACGUUGUGGAAGAAAAGCCAGAACGGUCAACCAAAAAACCUCACAUUCAGGGGUUCGUUGAGGCACUACAGGAACCAUGUGCUCGGGUAGAUACAGAACGCGAGUACAAGACCCGUAUCAGGGAAUUGGAAAGGGAGGUUCAUGAUCUCCGGUAUGAAAACAGUUUGCAAGCUGCAGCCGAUGAAGGAAUCAAAAAGAAAUUAGCCCAAGAAAAUGCCACUCUUAAGGAUCGAAUCCGGCGAGUCAGAAAGAACACAGACAACCAACAGAGAAGUCGGUUAGACAAGAGGCUAAUAGAUGGAUUAAACAAGUAGCUGAGUGAGAGCCAAGAAAGUUUGAAAAGAUCAUAGGCUAGCAUGACAAGAAUCCGAGCCAGAUGGGCAAGAGGUGUGAAGAUACGAGCAUAGCAUGUGCGGCAUAUAAAUAGGGAAUAUGAAGAGGCCAUUGCUAUCUUAAGAGAAACAAAUGCCACUCUCAAAGGAAGGCUCCUUAGGCAAAACCAAAAUGCACGAAUGGACAUGAAUCGUUGCUAUGAUUUUAUAUCCCGAAUGGAAGAGCAAAAGGAGAUAUUCCAAGAUCAGCUUGCUAACAACGUUCAAGUACUGGGGGCAAGGAAUCGACGAAUAGAGCAACUGAUUUUGGAAAGAGAUAGAAUCAGGGUUAGAAUCGAAGAAGUGGGGCACUACAUCACCAUGAGGUGCCUGGCAUGUGAGCAAAUGCCUCGUGACACCCUUUUCGAUUCAGUCAUGGGUUAUGUCGACUGGAUUAUGAAAGAGUUGAAGAGUCUGCAAAGGAAUCUUGCGCCAAAGCCCACAACAAGGCCAAACAACUCCCUGCGGGCACAAAGACUUAAAGCUUUGAAGCAUGUUUAGAUGAGUCUGUAUUUUCUGUAUUUUGGUUGUUCAUUGAAAUCUGUAUUUUACUUUUUGCGUCAAACGCUGUAGUGUGUUUCCAAAACGUUUUGGCUUUGUAAAAGUAUAAAUCCAAAAUGAUAUCUUUGUUUUACACUUGUUGCACGAACUACGAUGGGUCUGAUCCAUGCAGGGACAUGAUACGUAGGAAAUCUAUAUAAGAUUCAACCACUGCUUUCGAUUAAAAAAUAGGGUAAAUAAGAAAAGAAAAGAGAGAAAAAGAAAUUAAUGGAGAGAUUUUGAAACGCUUGAAAAAGGGGCAAAUAAGAUAAGCCGGAAUGAUGCAUGUUGUCUGAGCAAAAACAUAUUAGAAAUGGUUUAUUGCCUAAGAACAUUGCUUCCCCCAACGUGCGAUUAUGAUAUCUGUUGAAACUCUAACGCUAACAAGUUUGUUGUUUUUCCAAUCGAUCCAGUUAGUUUGUUAGAGCAUACUGGCAUCGCACCAUUAUCAGACAAGAUUAAAAGGGCCCAUACCAGAAAGCAUGACUGGGUCAGACAACAGUAUUGAGUCAGAAAUGAUGAUGAGUCUAAUGUUGAAAUAGGCUAUGGAAAAGAUGGAAAAGAUUAGGCUGGAAAUGAACGAAAUGCAGUUGGCUUUGGCUAAGGCACAAAAUGGGCCUGAAGUACCCGUUACUCCUACCCUCCAGCCAUGACAUACACCAGAAUACCCUUCUCCUGGUCCCUCAACAAGCUUCUCGAGCCAUCACUACCAUCAGGGAAGGGAUGCCUAUGACCACCAAGCUCCACCACCCAAUCAAAACCCUCCUCCACCAAAUGUCCCUAUCUUUCUGGCACCUCCCCUAGCCCCAUUGCACAGAUCAUGUAGUGAGCCGUUGUUUCAAGCUCACGAUGCACAAUAUUACCCCCUCCGAACUCGCAUUCAAAGCACCCGAUCCACCUACCUAUAAUACACAUUUUGAGGUCCCGACGGAAAAUGAAAAGCUGGCAAAGAACCCAGAUCAGGACGAGGUAAUACGGAAGUUUAAAAGCCUGGAGCAGUCCUUCAGGAACAUGCACGGAUUAGACAACCAGGUCAGCGUAGCCUACAAGGAUCUAUGUCCUUUUCCUGAUGUCCAAUUACCGGCGAGGUUCAAGAUGCCCAAGUUUGAUUUAUACGAAGGGCAUGGCGAUCCUAUGGCUCAUUUGCGGGGUUUUUGUAGCAAGAUGAGAGGAGCAGGAGGCAAAGAUGAGCUAUUGAUAGCUUACUUCGGCCAGAGUUUGAGUGGGUCUACUCUAGAGUGGUAUACAAGGCAAGAUCCAAGCAAAUGACACCUGGGAUGAUUUGGCGCAGUCUUUCGCCGGACACUUCCAAUACAAUCUCGAGAUAGUCCCAGAUCGUCUCACUUUGCUAAAGCUUAAGAAGAAACCCGGGAGAGUUUCCGGGAAUUUGGAUUACGGCGGAGAGAACAUGCAGCUAGAGUUGAUCCUCCAAUGAGAGAGGGGGAGAUGGUAGAUUACUUUCUACAAACCCUAGAGCCAACUUACUUCGGUCACUUGGUGACGCAAGUUGGAAAUCCUAUAAUGAGGUGGUGAAAAUGGGAAGUAUGAUAGAAGAGGGACUCAAGUCCAAUAAAUUCCUGAGUUACUCAGUGAUCAAGGCAACAACAGAGGCCAUUCAGAGCGGCACAGGAGGUGCGCUCGAAAAGAAAAUGAGAGAAGAGGUCGCGACAAUAGAGGUAUGCAGCUGGUCCAGAUCUAGAGGUCCUUCCCCUCGUUACCAAUCCAGACCCUCUCACCCAAAUUACACAUUCCAAAUUACCCUCCACAGUCCUACUACCCACCACAAGAACCACAUUUCUCCGUCCAUCAAGCCCAAACAUAUACCCAACCACCGGUACGCCCGCAAUGGCGCGCGCUAGCUCCACAUAAUACCUACCCAGCUCCACAUAAUACCUACCCACCUCCGCAUAAUACCUACCCACCUCAACAAAACACUUACCCACCACCAAGGGCCUACAAGAAUCCUGCAGGACCAGGCAUUAGAGGAAAUCAGGCUUUCAGAAAUGAAAGGGUUCAGAAACAAAGAACAUUCACUGAAUUAGGAGAAAUCUAUACUGCUUUAUUCCAUAAAUUAAAACAGUUAGGUUUGUUGAGUCCUAUUGAGCCCAGAUUGUCAAAUCCUCUACCCCAAAAUUUGGACCACUCGAUAAGUUGUGAAUAUUGUUCGGGAGCUUUCGGACAUGAUACCGAGAAGUGCUGGAAGAUAAAGCAUGCGAUACAAGAUCUUAUUGACACCAACAAGAUCGAGGUUCAGGCAUCAGAAGCACCCAACAUUAAUUAAAACCCAUUGCCAGCACACCACGAAACCCACAUGAUUGAACUUGUGCACGAAGAGGGAGAGCCCAAGAAGCCACCAUAGACAGUGAUCAUGAUCCGUGCCACUCCAAAAGAAAAAUCAACCAGUGGGGAAGCAGGGGUACAAGUUAAGAAGGAAGAUGUCAAGCCGGUGGUGAUAUUAGGGAAGAGCCCAUCCGCCACUAUAAAUAAACCAGAGCUAGCAAAAUUGGUAGUGUCAGGAGCGUCAUCUGCCCCUGUGGUUGUUGUGAAGGGGGUCUACAUGGAAGCGGUAAUCAUAAAGCCGGUAGUCCAAUUGCCGAUGAUUGAUAGCAGGGCCGUGCCUUAGAAGUAUGAAAAGGCAAUGGUGAUGUACAAGGGAAAGCCAGUGGAGGAGAAUAGUUGCGAGGCACAGAGAUUGACCCGAUCGGGACGGUGUUUUGCUCCCAUAGAGUUGAGGAGGUCCAACCCAGCAGUGGUGAAGAAGCCCGUGGCGGAGGAAGAGGCUGAGGAGUUUUUGAAGAAAAUGAAGGCCCAAGACUACUCCAUUGUGGAGCAGUUAAGAAAGACUCCAGCACUGAUUUCGUUGCUAUCAUUGUUGAUUCAUUCCAGUGAUCAUUGCCGGGACCUAAUGAAGAUACUAAACGAGGCUCGUGUUCCAGAUAAACUCUCUUUAAAUCACUUGGAGAAGAUAGUGCACAAAAUCUUCAAGGUGAACCGAGUGACAUUUUUCGAUGAUGAAUUGCCAAAAGAAGGUACGGAACAUAAUAAAGCCCUAUACUUGACCGUGAAAUGUGAAAACUCGGUGGUCACCCGAGUAUUAGUCGAUAAUGGGUCAAGCGCCAACAUCUGUACUUUGGCUACACUGAACAAGCUGAAAAUUGAUCAUGACCGGGUUCACAUGAACAAUGCCUGCAUCCGAGGUUUUGAUGGAGGUGAUACUUACACAGUGGGUGAUAUCAUAUUGGAAUUAACCACUUGGCCAGUAAAAUUCACCAUGGAAUUCCAAGUGGUAGACGUGGCAGUAUCAUUCAAUCUUCUAUUGGGCGACCCUGCAUCCAUGCCGCCAAAGCAGUACCUUCUACAUUGCACCAGAUGGUGAAGUUUGAGUGGGACAGGCAGGAGAUAGUGAUGCGUGGGGAUGAUGGUACAAGCAUUGUGGGUGAUGACGUUGUGCCAUUCAUUGAAAUAGAGGAUGACAAAGGGCCAUGGGUGUACCAAAUUUUCGACGGGGUCCCAAUAGACAAGAUUUCUGAAAGCGAGUACCUUACAUUUCCCAGGAUCACAACUGCGGCCUUCAUGGUAGCCUCGAAAGUGCGAAACAGCGGGUUUGUACCAGGAAAAGGUCUGGGGGCUCACCUUUAGGGUAUUGUUCAACCUGUCUAUUUGCCUAAGAAUUUGGAGACCUUCGAAUUGGGUUUCAAGCCAACAUCAGCGGAUGUGAUGCGAGCUCGGAAAAUAAAGAAGAAACCCAAACUAGUUCCGUGUCUCUCCCGAUCUUUUGUUAAAGCAGGUGUCAAAAGGGUGUCAGUCCCAAAGGUUCUUGGACCAUUGAUUGGAUUAGAUGGAGAUCUGGAUCAGGGUUUUUAAAGGUUGUUUGUUGAUGUCAACAUGAUCGAAGCUAGAGAGGGCUCCAGUAAAGCAGACAUACAAUAUGUGGGGCCCAGGGACAAUAUCAACAAUUGGACAGCAACUCCUCUUCCCACUCAGAGGGAGUCUUGGUAGUAGGCUCUGGAUUUUCUUUCUUAUUUCCUGGAUUAUUCCAGAGUUUUAAUCCAGUUUUGGGUUUUAUUUUUAUUUCGUAAAAGUGUGAAACUCUGUUAUCCUGCAUUUUAAUAGAAAGCAAAAGUUUCCUUUUCCUACUUCGUUUAACUUUGUUUCUUUUGUUAUUUUCUUUCUGAUCAGUUCUCCUUUUACUGGUUCCAAUGACAUGGCAUGCACAACGGAUCUUCAACCUAGUCUAAAUAAUCAAUCUGACUCCGAAUUAAUUGCACAAGAGGUCAAUUAUGAUGAUGAAUCAGAAUACGAGGAAUAUGAGGCCUUUGUAGAGAUAAACAAAGAAUUAAGUCAUUUUGAAGAAAAACCUAAGCCUAAUUUGAAUGACACUGAAGCCGUCAAUUUAGGAGAUGCAGACGAUGUUAGAGAAACAGAAAUUAGCAUCCACAUUGAUCCGAACAUCAAGGAGGAACUAAUCAAAGCACUCAUCGAAUUCAAAGACAUUUUUGCAUGGUCAUAUGAUGACAUGCCGGGUUUAAGCACAGAUCUAAUGGUUCACAAAUUGCCCACUGACCCGGCAUGCCCUCCCGUCAAGAAGAAAUUGAGAAAGUUCAAGACAAACAUGAGUGUAAAGAUUAAAGAAGAAGUAACCAAGUAGUUGCAGGCAAAGGUUAUUCGGGUCACUCGAUAUCUUGAUUGGUUGGCCAAUGUGGUACAGUACCGAAGAAAGAUGAGAAGACAUGGUAUGUGUCUAUUACCGCAAUCUGAACAGAGCAAGCCCAAAAGAUAACUUUCCACUACCCAACAUCCAUAUCUUGAUCGAUAAUUGCGCUGGGCGUGAAAUCGUAUCCUUUGUGGAUUGUUAUGCCGGGUAUCAUCAGAUCCUAAUAGAUGAAGAAGACGUAGAAAAGACAGCCUUCAUUACGCCGUAGGGAACUUAUUGUUACCGGGUAAUGCCGUUUGUCAUGAAGAACACUGGAGCAACUUACAUAAGAGCAAUGACUAAUGUGUUUCAUGACAUGAUGCAUAAAGAGAUUGACCUGUAUGUAGAUGAUGUGAUCAUCAAAUCCAAGCGUUAGGAAGACCACGUAGUUGACCUUAGGAAGUUUUUCCAAAGACUUUGGAGGUAUGAUAUUAAGCUCAACCCGGCCAAAUGUGCGUUUGGAGUUCCAUCUGGAAAACUGUUGGGAUUCAUCGCCAGUCGGCGAGGCAUUGAGUUGGACCCAUCAAAUAUCAAAUCCAUCAUUUGGUGUUCCAUCUGGAAAGCUGUUGGGAUUCAGCGUCAGUCGGCGAGGCAUUGAGUUGGACCCAUCAAAGAUCAAAUCCAUCCAGGAAUUGCCCCCACCGAGGAACAAAAUAGAGGUAAUGAGUCUGUUAGGAAGGUUGAACUAUAUCAGCAAGUUCAUUUCUCAGCUCACAGCGACGUGUGAACCUACUUUUCGGCUACUGAAGAAAGAUGCGGCGAUAGAAUGGACAAUAGAAUGUCAAUAAGCCUUCGACCAAAUCAAGGGGUAUCUGUCAAAUCCACCUGUGGUGGUCCCACAUGAACCUGGAAGACUGUUGAUUCUCUAUCUAACAGUACUAGAGAAUUCAUUUGGUUGCGUACUAGGGCAACAUGAUGUCACAGGAAGAAAGGAGCAUGCUAUCUUUUAUCUCAGCAAGAAGUUUACAGUCUAUGAGGUUAAGUACACUCAACUUGAGAAUACAUGUUGCGCCCUAACUUGGGUAGCACAGAAGUUUAAGCACUAUUUGUCCUCGUAUAGUACUUACCUCAUUUCACGCCUAGAUCAACUGAAGUAUAUUUUCCAAAAGCCUAUGCCCAUAAGGAGAUUGGAAAAAUGGAAGAUAUUACUCACAUAAUUCGACAUCAUCUAUGUGACGAGGAUGACCAUGAAAGCACAUGCACUGGCCGAUCAUUUGGAUGAGAAUCUUGUUGAUGAAGAAUAUGAACCAUUGAGGACGUAUUUUCCAGAUGAGGAAGUGAUGCAUAUAGAAGAUUCGAAACUGACUGAGGAACCAGGGUGGAAGAUUUUCUUCGAUGGGGCGGCGAAUGCGAAAUGAGUUGGGAUAGGAGCGAUGCUUAUCUCUGAAACAGGACAUCACUAUUCUAUUACAGCUUAGCUACGUUUCUAUUGGACCAACAACAGGGCUGAAUAUGACGUAUACAUUCCGAGCUUACGAUUAGCUGCAGAUAUGGAUGUUCAGGACGUCUUGGUCUUGGGAGACUCGGACCUUCUGGUGCAUCAAAUUCAAUAUGAAUGGGAAACAAAAGAUUUAAAGCUUAUACCAUAUCGUCAAUGCUUGCACGAUCUUAGCAAGCGAUUUUAAUCAGUGGAAUUCACACAUAUCCCAAGAAUUCAAAAUGAGGUUGAUGAUGCUUUGGCUACUUUAGCAUCAAUGUUGCACCACCCAGACAAGACUCAUAUUGACCAUUGCAUAUUCAGAUUCGUGAUCAACAUGCUUAUUGCAACGUAAUAUAGGAAGAAAUGGAUGGCGAACCAUGGUUUUAUGAUAUCAAAGAGUACCUCAGGAUGGGGACAUACCCAGAGCAGGAAACCAGAGAUAAAAAAAGAGCCAUUCGGCGGUUGGCCAAUGGAUUUUUCCUCAGUGGAGGAGUGUUGUACAAAAGAACCCCAGAUUUGGGAUUGCUGAGAUGCAUAGAUGUUGGUCAGGCUACAACAGUAAUGGCAGAGGUACAUGUUGCAGUUUGUGGGCCCCAUAUGAGCGGAUAUGUAUUGGCAAAGAAGAUUCUGCGAGCAGGAUAUUAUUGGCUCACCAUGGAGCGUGAUUGUAUCAGUUUUGUACGGAAGUGCCAUCAGUGUCAGGUACACGGAGAUAUGAUUCAUUCUCCUCCAACAUAAUUGCAUACAAUGUCAGCUCCUUGGCCAUUUGUGGCAUGUGGCAUGGAUGUCAUUGGACCUAUUGAACCAGCAGCUUCAAACAGUCACAGGUUCAUUUUGGUAACCAUCAAUUAUUUCACUAAAUGGGUUGAGGCCAAAAAUUUUAAGUCAGUAACCAAGAAGGCAGUGGUGGAAUUCGUGCAUUCCCAUAUCAGAUUUGGGAUCCCCAAAGUGAUCAUCACGGAUAAUGGUGCUAAUCUUAACAGUGGUUUAAUGAAAGAAGUAUGUCAACAGUUCAAGAUUACACACAGUAAUUACACCCCAUAUCGUCCCAAGGCGAAUGGUGCAGUUGAGGAGGCUAACAAGAACAUAAAGAAGAUAUUGAGGAAGAUGGUAGAAGAUCCAAGCAAUGGUAUGAGAAAUUGCCAUUUGCAUUGUUGGGUUAUCGCACUACUGUUCGCACUUCAAUAGGCGCAACCCCUUACUUGUUGGUAUACGGAACUGAAGUAGUGAUACCAGCAGAAGUUAAAAUUCCACCCCUUCGAAUUGUCGCUGAGGCCGGGAUCGAUGAUGAGGAAUGGGUCAAAGCCCGGUUGUAGCAACUGAGCCUAAUGAAUGAAAAGAGAUUGGUAGCGGUAUGUCAUGGCCAGUUGUAUCAGAAGAGAAUGGCAAUGGCAUACAAUAAGAAGGUACGCCCCAGGAAAUUUGAAGUAGGGCAGCAAGUAUUGAAACAAAUCCUACCACAUCAGAUUGAGGCAAAAGGCAAGUUCGCCCCAAAUUGGCAGAGGUCGUAUAUUGUGACCCAAGUGUUAUCCAACGGAGCUUUGUGUCUGACAGAUGUCGAAGGAAGAUGCACCGACAUGGCUAUCAAUUCUGAUGCACUCAAAAGAUAUUCUGUGUAAUUUCUUAUUUAUAAUUUUGUUUGUUGCUUGUUUGUACUUGGUGUUCAUCGGCUAAUGAAAUGACGGAGGCAAUUCUUUCUUCCAUCCAAAAACUUUUAACCUUUUCUUUACCCAUUUUAGCCUUACUUAUUCCUUCAUACCCCUGUCUUGGAAUCGUUAAUAAAACGAAAAAAAAAAGAAUAAGGAAAGUCGCAAGAGAAACCAAAGGAGUUUGAACUACGUUCGACAUGAUUCCUCAAAGAGGAUACAUAGGCGCCUCACGGCUCAGUCAUAACCUAACAAAAGUCAAAAAAUUCCCCAAGCAGGAAAACUGGGGAAGAAGUUUUAUUUUAAAUUUUGAUAGAGUUUUGAUUCCAACAGUUGGAAUGUUUCACCCGACAAGUUUUGAAUUUAUCUCGUUUUCUUUUAAACCACAUAUAAACCCCACAUUUAUAUCCAAAAAGACCUCCCGAUCAGCAUCCGAUAGGUGCCAAGGCAGGCAAAUGAAAGCUGAGAAUAACACAUUAGUUCCCGACUGAAUGGGAAAUAUGAGUUGAAAGAAUUGAUGGCCAUAAGAAUUCCCAACAUAAAGAUUCUUACCGGCGACACCCUAAUCGAAUUGGAAACAUGAGUUGAAAGAAUUGAUGGCCAUAAGAAAUCCCAACAGAAAGAUUCUUAUUGGCGACACCCCAAUCCCAGCUGAAAGAGAAAAAUGAGAGAGUCUUAUCGGUGAAAGCCUUUACAGACACCAUAAGGCGACGUAAGAAACAAAAUGAGAGAGUCGUAUCGGUGAAAACCUUCAUACGCACCAUAAGGCGGCGAGAGUUGAGAGAACUGAGAGAGUCUUAUUAGUGAAAACCCCUCGAAGGGCACUAUGAGGCGACAAGAUGAGAUUGACGGAAAGGAUCCGCCUUUUUCGAAGAAUUGGGCACCUGUUUAUCCCCGGCGAGUGAAGACAUCGGAAAGAUUGAUUAAUACAAAUAGACUGGGUUGAUUAAUCCGGAAUGCACGAGAUGAUCGUUGGGAUCGGUUAUACCACCAAGAUAAGUUCCUUUUUCUUUUCCCUAUGUUUGUUCAGAAAUUUUUCUCUUUUUCUAUCUUUGCUUUCCUUUGUUUAAUUGUCUUUUUCCAGAAAUUUAUUUUGAGAAAUACUUUUCAGAGCUUAAGGCAAAAAAGAUGCAUGUUGCAAGGCUGAAUAAUAUAUUGGGUUAAAAGCUCAAGGAGAGUGUGGAGAAAAGCCGAUAAAAGGGAGGGUUAAGGAAAUUAUGUGCCAAGUUCCAAGAGUAUCCCCAGCAGAACUUCGAUCUAUUAUCAACCAAGUUCGAUGUGGUCGGACCACACAGAAUGGGAAGGAAGAAAGGAAAAUUCAUCUUCAGCAAAAUAACCCCAUCAAGUUUUGAAACACAGAAUGGGGAAGGGAUCAAUGAACAAACCAUCCCCAGCAUCCCAAGCAGAAAUGUCGUCCCAAGUAAAUGACGUCAUCCCCAGCAAGUUGUGGGAAUGCAAAACAGGACAAGGGAGAGGAACAAUCAUUCACAGCAUGAGCGAUAUAACCGCUCGCCACAUUUUUAAAACUAAAAAGUUUUUCUUUGCUUUGAAACAGGAAAAUAAAAUGAUGAUGUUGGCAGAAAGAAAAAGCACCGAAACUGGGCAGAAAAGUUUCUCCCGCAGUCGAAAAUUUUCUCGGAGAAAUGAGAAAAUCAAUGCAAGUUAUAAAGAAAAACAAUUUUGAAGGAAGUGGAAUCCUCAACAGUUUAUGGCAGAAGACAAUACAGGAAAUCAAUCUUGGAAUAAGCAAGAUAGCCAAGUUUUGAGGGUAUUGGUCCUUGGAAGCAGUAUCAUGCCCACCAUUGUUGAAAGAAAGAAAAUAACCAGUUUUAAAGAAGGAGGAUAAUUGCCCAGCAAGCAUUAUCCCAGCAGAUUUCAGAGAAAGGAAGAACCCAUUUUAAAUUAAAGGAGUCAGAAGCCCGCCUGUAGAACAAAGAUAUUUAUUUUAAGUUAAAGGAGUCAGGAACCCGCCUGUAGAGUGGAGAUUGUUAUACUUUAAAGUUAAGUUGAAGUCAGGGGCCCGCCUGUAGAACGGAUGUAUUUAUUUUAAGUUAAAGGAGUCAGGAGCCCGCCUGUAGAACAGAGGUUUUUAUUUUAAGUUAAAGGAGUCAGGAGCCCGCCUGUAGAAUUAAGGUUGUUAUAUUUCAAAUUGGGAAGUCAGGAACCCGCCUGUAAAAUGGAGGUUUUUACUUUAAGUUUAGGAAGUCAGGAGCCCGCCUGUAGAAUGGAGGUUGUUAUUAUUUUAAGUUUGGGAAGUCAGGAGCCCGCUUGUAGAAUGUAGGUUGUUAAUAUUUUAAGUUGUUGAAGUCAGGAGCCCGCAUGUAGAACGAAAGUUGUUAUUAUUUUAAGUUUGAGAAGUCAGGAGUCCGCCUGUAGAAUGGAGGUUGUUACUAUUUUAAGUUGGAGAAGUCAGGAGCCCGCCUGUAGAAUGGAGGUUGUGAAAUUUUGAAGUUGUUGAUGAAGUCAGGAAACCGCCUGUAGAAUGGAGAUCGUUAUAUUUUAAAGUUGAGGAAGUCAGGAACCUGCCUGUAGAACGGAGGUGUUACUUUUAAGCUGAAGUCAGGAGCCCUCGUGUAGAAUGGAGGUUGUUAUUAUUUCAUUGGAAGAAGUCAGGAACCCGCCUGUAGAAUGGAGGUUGUUAUAUUUUGAGUUGAAGAAGUCAGAAGCCCGCCUGUAGAAUGGAGGCUUGCUACAUUUUAAGUUGAGAAAUUCAGGUGCCCGCAUGUAGAACGGAGGUGUUACUUUUAAGCAGAAGUCAGGAGCCCGCCUGUAGAAUGGAGGUUGUUAUUAUUUCAUUGGAAGAAGUCAGGAACCCGCCUGUAGAAUGGAGGUUGUUAUAUUUUGAGUUGAAGAAGUCAGGAGCCCGCCUGUAGAAUGGAGGCUUGCUACAUUUUAAGUUGAGAAAGUCAGAUGCCCGCCUGUAGAACAGAGGUGUUACUUUUAAGCUGAAGUCAGGAGCUCGCCUGUAGAAUGGAGGUUGUUAUUAUUUCAAUGGAAGAAGUCAGGAACCCGCCAGUAGAAUGGAGGUUGUUAUAUUUUAAGUUAAAAAAGUCAGGAUCUCGCCUGUAGAAUGGAGGUUGUUAUUAUUUUAAAUUGGAGAAGUCAGGAGCCCGCCUGUAGAAUGGAGGUUGUGAAAUUUUAAAGUUGUUGAUGAAGUUAGGAACCCGCCUGUAGAAUAGAGGUCGUUAUAUAUUAAAGUUGAGGAAGUCAGUAGCCCGCCUGUAGAAUGGAAGAUUACUAUAUCUUAAGUUGUUGAAGUCAGGAGCCCGCCCGUAGAACAGAGGUUGUUAUUUUUGAGAAUGUCAGGAGUCCGCCUGGAGAAUGGAGGAUGAAAUACCUUUAAGUUGAUGUCUGGAGUCAGGAACCCGCCUGUAAAACGGAGGAUGUUAUUUUUGAAAAUGUCAGGAGCCCGCCUGGAGAAUGGAGGCUGAAUUACCUUUAAGUUGCUGUCUGGAGUCAGGAACCCGCAUGUAGAAUGGAGGUUUGCUACAUUUUAAAGUAAAGAGAUCAGGAGCCCGCCUGUAGAAUGGAGGUCGUUAUAUCUCAAGAUUAAGAAGUCAGGAGCCCGCCUGGAGAACGGAGAAUUGCUACAUUAUGUUGCUGAUUUAGUCAGGAGCCCGCAUGUAGAAUGGAGGUUGUUAUCUUUUGAAUUAUAGUUGAAGUCAAGAGCCCGCCUGCAAAACAGAGGAAUACAUUUCAAUAUCAAAUCAGAAGUCAAUAAUACCGAGGGUUACAACAAGAACCCCCAGCAGAACAAGCUUUAAUAAAAGAAAGCAGCAUUCCCAGCAGAUAGAACGAAAUGACGAAACUUGUCUUCAGGAAAGAAAAAGGGCCAGUGUCAUCCCAACAGUUUGCGGAACGGAGGAAACACAAGCCGACAAGAAAGAAAGGCAGCAAAGACAAGUGAAAGAUAGACAAGAUCUUAUGGUCCAUAGUCUAGCCUAACUUCUUGUUUUUCUUUUAGCACGGUGUAAUAAGGAGAUCAGUAAGUAGUGGCAGCAUGCAGCAGCUGUAAAAGCACAAAUGCAAUCACAUGGUACUCCUAACUACCAAAACUUCCCGAACUACAUUAACCUGAUUCUAUUUUAGCCAGGGAUAUGUAGUAAUCCUUUGAAGCAAAGGUUCGGUUAAAUCAUUUUCAAGAAAAUACUUCACACAGAGUAUUCCAACGGGCAAAAAUCGCUCGUAUCCGCUCACUUUAUCUUUGCAGAAAAACUCUUUGUGUUUCCGAGCAAAAAGGACAGCUGUGAGCACGUGCUUUUUGCUUUAUAAAAAUUACUCCAAAAGAAAUCAAAAAAAUAAAAUAAAUUCCUUCGGUUUACAAUUUUUAAAAUUUUUGUGGAAUUUUAGAUAAUUAUUUUGAGAAUAUUUAUCUUGCUUAAUUAAUAAAAAUACAAAAAAUAAGUGUUUGCGUGUGCAUUAAAAUUUAAUUGUGCCUUUAGGAAUUAAUUAAAUCAUAAUUUGGUUUUAAAAGUUAAAAUCACAAAAAAUACGCAAUUUUAUUCUAUUAGUUGUCAUUAUGUGAGUUUAUUUUAAUUAAAUAUUUUAAUUCGUGUAUUAAUUGUUUUUAGGUAUUAAUUAAUAUUUGGGUAUUUUUAUUUUUGAUUUUACAUUUAAAUAUUUUAAUUAGUGUAUUAAUUGUUUUUAGGUAUUAAUUAAUAUUUGGGUAUUUUUAUUUUUGAUUUUACAAAUUAAUUAGAAUUUUUGUUUAAUUAAAGAUUAAAAGAAGCAAAUGAAAAGAGUUGAAAAAUAAGAGGGCAAAACGAAUUUAGGCGAAAUUUGAGACCAAAACGGCAGGCCCAAACAUUUAAAUGACCCAGAACAAUACACUUGGUCUCUCAGAAGUCCAAAUGAUAUCAUUUUGAUGCCUCAAAUCUGAGUCGUUAAUUCAUUUCAAUCACACAGUCCAACUCAGACCCCAUGACCAGCAAAACGACGCCGUUUAGAUCAAUAGAUCUCAGUCACCCAUUUAUCCCGAUCCAACGGCUCCAUUAACACCUUUUAACCCAUAUCACCAUACCCGACCCAUUACCCACUUUUAACCCAGUCUCCUAAUGAGACCAAACCACCCUGUUUUAAUUAAUAAAAUAAUCCAGGCCGUUGAUCUUGUUUGAUCGAACGAGAUCAAGCCAACCCCCUCACAAUAUAUAUCCUAACAUUACCUCGCCCCCUUCAUACCCCCCAUCUCCUCAUCUCUCUCAAACCUCAUCUCUCUCAAACCUCAUCUCUUCAGAGAUGAGGAACCUUAGCCGCCAUGGCCCUCCCACACCAGAAACCCAACGGCCGGAACUCCGAUGGCCACAAAAGUUACUCCUCUGAGCCUCCUGACCAUCCUCAUCACGAAUACAAGCUCUGUUUGCUUCGAAUCUCAACGGAACAUUUUGAAUAUCAAAUCAAAGAACCAGCCUAGAACCUUACCUCGUCUGAUGGACUCCAAACUCAUACCCCAACACCCCUGACCUCCCUUAUACCUUAAGUGACCUUGGUACCAUUCGAAUCUGCCCAGCGAUAUUCGAAUCCCAAAUCGAACUAGAAAGCCCUAACGAGACCAAACCUGGGUUUUGUCCGAGAUUGAGGAGAAUUUGGGGUUACUAAUCGACCUUAGUCGAGUGUUCUCAGUCGAGAACACUCGAUUAAGGUCCAUCUGACCCCAAAAGUUUGAAUUAGAGUU